UAGUUUUCUUCAACCAAUCAACUUUCGUGGAUUUUGAUUGGCGUCUGUGCCCCCCAAUCAGAUUCCUACUUCCAGCAUACCGCCAGCCACCUCUUUGAUAUAUGUGUGAUUGGAGUUUCUUUCGAUCUCGUUAUCCCCAAACAGACGGUACACUGGAGCAACCAUGGUGAAGAUUUUCAUCGGUAACCUCUCUCCGGAAACGGCGAGAGAGGACAUCGAAGCUCUCUUUCUGAAGUACGGCACAGUGACGGAAUGCGCGAAGUACAAAAACUAUGCGUUCGUCCACAUGGAUGAUCGCAAGUCGGCCACCAAAGCUAUCCGUGAGCUCCAUCUGCACAAGCUGGACGGCAGGCCCAUCAACGUGGAGCCCAGCAGAGGGAAGAACCAGGGUCCCGUGAAGCUCCACAUUGCCAAUGUUGAGAAGGGCUUUGAUAGUGAGCUGCGCGACCUGUUUGAAGAGUACGGCACAGUCACAGAGUGUUCAAUUGUAAAGAACUUUGCAUUUGUCCACAUGCCUCAUUAUGAUGAAGCCAUGGAUGCUCUGGAGGGCCUGGAUAACACAGAGUUUAAGGGAAAACGUAUUCACGUUCAGGUAUCAAAAAGCAGACCGAGAGGGGGCCCUGAGGAUGAGGACGAUUAUCCACCUCCACCAGGCAGAGGAGGCUACUUUCCUUCGUAUUACCCGGUGGCGAGGCCUGAGCCUCCCUACAGAGGACGCAUGUCUGCUUACGCCCCUCCUCCUCCACCUCCUUCCCCUCUACCACCACCCCCUCCUGUGAGACGAGUGCCGUAUCCCGACCGUAGUUAUGGCGACAGAGUAUCCUAUGGGGCAGUGGAUUAUUAUGAGAAAUACAGAGCCCGUCCUUACAGCACUACAAGUUAUGACGAUAGGCGUGCCAUACCGCCUCCUCCGCCUCCUUCAUCAGCUCUGGUUAGAGAACGGCUCGGGAUGACAGGGUCACUUGACCCUUAUGAGCGGCGUCCUCUUCCGGCCCCGCCUACUUAUGUUCUGAGGGACCGGAGCCCGAUCAGGAGAAUCCCCCCUCCACCUACUUCGACAGCUGGGAAUGGGUAUUCCUAUGAGCGCUCUCGGCUCUCGCCGAUGUCCAGGGCUACGUUGUACGCGGCGCCCCGUGUCCGGGAUCCCUAUGCGGAGAGAGUGCCUCCCCCACCACCACCUCGCUAUGCAGGCUAUUAGAGGGCCAGAGUGUAACACAAGGUGGUUAAGCCAUCUACAGGAUAGGCUAUCCCCUGGUAAGUCAUCCCUGAUGUCAAGCAAGAGGAACAAGGUUUCUCGGUUUACUGAUGCUGAAAAAGAGAAUUCCAACAUAAGUCAGAGAGACAAAAUCAGAUUGUUCAAUAUUCUGAGAGUUCUUCUGUCUUCUACCUGCAUUGGAUCAAAGGGGGAACUUGUGACAGGGAUGGUCUUCCUGAUGAGGUCAUCUAACCACUUCCUCCCAGCUGUAGAUGAGCUGCUCCUCCAACAAACUACACCAUAGAAGAUGGCAGAUAGCACCACAGAGUCAAAAAAGCUCUUCAAGAGAUCCCCCUGGACUACAAAAGAUCUCAGCCUCCUUAGCAGGUAGAGUCUGCUCUGACCCUUCCUGUAAAGUGCAUCAGUGUUGUGUCUCCAGUCCAGUUUAUAGUUCAGAUGAACAUAAGAGUCCAAUAUUGCAGUGCCAGUUCCCUGGAUGCUGACUUCUAUUUGGGCAGAGCCUUUAUCUUGGGAUUUAUCCUGGACUUGUUGUUGGAGAAACACUGUCAAGUCAUGAGGGGGUUUGGUGUGUGUGUGUGUGUUUGAGAUGCAGUCUGUCACGCUAUCAAUUUCCUCCCCAUGAACAGCACAGAACUUCCUACAUGGUGGCGCUGUGGAGCUUUUGGGAGUAUUUGCGGGCUUGUUAGUAUGUAAAGAUGCAAUAUGAUGAUUGCUUUCUUCUUUUCUGGAGGUAACCAUUGCAAAUAUGAGAAGACGAUCGCCUGUGUUUUAUAGCAAUCACUAAGCUAGCUAGACAGAGAGAAUUCACGCCGUUGGUAUCCUUGGCGACACACUGUACACCAUGUCAGGUAUUUACAAGCCUAAAAAGUCUUUUGAGGUUUGCAAAACUUGACUGAACAUUGUGCUCUUUUAAAAGGAGAACUGCACAUCCUGUGGGAGUUCAGUCCAUUGGUGGGAGGAGCUGGAACAGAAUGUCCCAAGCCUCCAGAAAGUCCCCAACUUCUAUUCUUUCCAAAUCCUGGCUGCUAAAAUGAUGAGUUCAGGGAAAAACAAAAUCCCCUAUUGGUUAUGUUUUAUCUUCUGUGACAUCAUACUGCAAAACUGUUGUCAUGUUUUAUAUUUCUUUGAUGUAUUAAAAAGUUUUAUGGUCUGAA